AUUUUUCACACUUGAGUUACCUGUCCUCAUUACACAACAUCGUAAAACUUGACGUUUCAGUGAGUUAAUUAAAGAGGCAGACACAUCAAAUCUUUUUAAGCAAAAGCAGACAAAGAUGAGAAUUCAGCGAAGUAUCGUCUUCGGGACGGUGAUGUCCAAGACAUAACCAUGUACUGCAGAAAAUAUUCAAUUAAAGCCUGCCCCCCUGCACGUCUUGUUGUAGUAUACAAUAAGUCAGAUAAGUGAAAUGUAGUAUGUUUCAGUAAUUAUUUCCAGAUUAUGACAAGGAGCAUGCGUUGGGUGUGGCCGGAAUGCAGGGGAUGCUCACGUCUCCAUGGUACGUACCUUCCAAGGUAUCCCACCUCUGAUGUUUUGGAGAUCCGUG